CUCCUGGAGCACUGCUCCUGCAGGGCCUGCUUUGCUGCCAGGAAGAGGCACCUCACAGUGUGGAUGCAGUGAUAGGCAGAGAGGAGCUUCUGCACAGUAAAAGUGCCCCUCGUCAGCGGGCUCUUAGUUUCAUCAAGGAAAGUCCCUUCCUUGCAGAAGUGCUGAAUAUUCAGGUGUCUUCAGGGACCUUGGGAUCACCUUGCCAUCAGAGAUGCAUCUCUGAAGCAGUUCUAAGCAAGCACAAUUUGGCAACAAACCACAGCUGGGAGGCAGCUCAGGGAAGAGGAUGGAGGUGGAGGAAGCUUUCCUUCAGCCUGCAUCCAUCCUGACCUCUUCUAAAGCCUAAUGUACCUUAAAAGGCAGGUAGUAAAUUUGACCUCUCCUGCUCUGCUGCAAACUAACAAAUGAUAGUCGUUAUGCAGCUGAUGCAACUUGAAGUUACAAAAAUACCUCCUUACAAACGCUUUCUAUCCCAAUACAAG
rnacentral:lncRNA from 1 species